CCUACGGGUGACAGCAGUGGGGAAUAUUGCGCCAUGGGCGCACGCCUGACGCAGCGAUGCCGCGUGAGGGAUGAAGGUCUUCGGAUCGUAAACCUCUGUCAGCAGGGAAGCACGGUCACUGUGCUAAUCAGCCGUGAAUUGCCGGUACCUGCAAAGGAAGCACCGGCUAAAUCCGUGCCAGCAGCCGCGGUAAUACGGAGGGUGCGAGCUUUGAUCGGAAUUACUGGGAGGAAUGCGCUCGUAGGCGGUAUGUCAAGUCAAGUGUGAAAUCCCCGCGCUCAACGUGGGAACUGCCUUUGAAACUGUCAAACUGGAGUGUGUGAGAGGAUAGUGGAAUUCCAGGUGUAGGAGUAAAAUCCGUAGAUAUCUGGAGGAACAUCAGGGGCGAAGGCGACUAUCUGGCACAUAACUGACGCUGAGGAGCGAAAGCGUGGGUAGCAAACAGGAUUAGAUACCCCAGUAGUC
rnacentral:rRNA from 1 species